rnacentral:rRNA from 1 species
CUGACCUCGAAUCAGACG